rnacentral:rRNA from 1 species
CAAGUCGAGUGCGCGUUCCGGUAGCAAUACUGGAAUGGCGCACGGCGCACGGGUGCGUAACACGUGGGUAAUCUGCCCUUCGAUGGGGAAUAACCCCGGGAAACCGGGGCUAAUUCCGCAUAACAUUCCGAAGACUCCGGUCCUCGGACUCAAAGCCGUAAGGCGUCGGAGGUGGAGCCCGCGCACGAUUAGCUAGUUGGUAGGGUAACGGCCUACCAAGGCUAUGAUCGUUAGCUGGUCUGAGAGGAUGGCCAGCCACACUGGAACUGAGACACGGUCCAGACUCCUACGGGAGGCAGCAGUGGGGAAUCUUGCGCAAUGGGCGAAAGCCUGACGCAGCGACGCCGCGUGGGGGAUGAAGCUUCUCGGAGUGUAAACCCCUUUCGACCGGGACGAAUACCUCGCAAGAGGGGUGACGGUACCGGUAUAAGAAGCCCCGGCUAACUACGUGCCAGCAGCCGCGGUAAGACGUAGGGGGCCAGCGUUGCUCGGAAUUACUGGGUGUAAAGGGUUCGUAGGCGGUGUGGCAAGUCGGGAGUGAAAUCUUUGGGCUUAACCCAGAGGCUGCUUCCGAAACUGCUGUGCUGGAGUGUGGGAGAGGCGCGUGGAAUUGCAGGUGUAGCGGUGAAAUGCGUAGAUAUCUGCAGGAACACCCGUGGCGAAAGCGGCGCGCUGGACCACUACUGACGCUGAGGAACGAAAGCUAGGGGAGCAAACAGGAUUAGAUACCCUGGUAGUCCUAGCCCUAAACGAUCAGGACUUGGGGUGCCACCCGUUCGGGUGUCGUCCCGGAGCUAACGCGUUAAGUCCUGCACCUGGGGAGUACGGUCGCAAGACUGAAACUCAAAGGAAUUGACGGGGGCCCGCACAAGCGGUGGAA